GGCCGACUGGGUCUUCGUGCACAUGCGUAUCCUGGAGUUGCGCGUCCGCUGUAGGCCGCUUGCGGCUGCGAGGGUCCGCAGGGCUGUCGCGGGUUUAUUUAAUCGGCACGGACUCUUCUGUCAGGUGUCAGACUCCUGUUCCUCCUGCGGCUGUCCGGCGCGUGCCUGUUCCGUCUGGGCACGAGUCCGUGAGAGAGAAGUCACGCCCUCUUCCCCAGAGGGUGUGGAGCGCGAGGUUCGCGCGCAGGGAGGGAGGAGAAAAAUGGUGGCAUCAUUGAAACUGAAAGACUCUGCCUUCACCAUUCAGAAGUUGGGCUGUCAGUCAACAGCUGACCUCAGGGAAUCAAGAAAACUGACUUUGCAGAGGAAGACCCUUUGGAUCUGGGUCCCAGAGCACUCAGCUGAAGAUCUGCAGAGUCUGUGAAAUAGACAGGUGGCUUGGCCCAUAAUUUGAGAAGCAAGUCAUGCUGAUGGGUAAAUACCACACUUUAUGGUGUCCGUCAUUUAAGGGAUAACCCAACUUGUGGAAUUCCUAAACAGGAUGAGACCAAUGGAAAAUGGAAUUGGCCACAUAUCCUGGUAAGCACACUAGCUGAACUUUUUGGUGUAUGGAUGGCUCUCUUGUCUGUGUCUCUAUUGGCUUACUCUAGCACAAGUAGAGAAGAACUGGAGUUA
rnacentral:lncRNA from 1 species